rnacentral:snRNA from 1 species
AGAUGUGAGGGUGAUCUGGCUAUAACAUCUGUCACCCCAUUAAUUGCCAGGGUUGAUUCAGCUGAUCUGGCUGGCUAUGUGACUGUUCCCUUCCUCUCUCAUCUCUCCACGUACAUCCCUCCCAAAGCUGUGUGCUUGGUCAAAGAGGACAACCGUCCUCGAUAGAGGAGGACUGUUCUUCGGUCAAGGGUAUACAAGUAGCUGCACUCCCCUGCUAGAACCUCCAAACAAGCUCUCAGUAUCAUUGAGGACCAAUGUAAACUUUAACCUCAGACUGACAACAAAUAGCUGGAGAGAUUCUAGUU